rnacentral:rRNA from 1 species
AAAGCUCAAAUUUUGAAUCUGGUGUCUCCGACCCCCGAGUUGUAAUCUAGAGAAGUGUUUUCUGCGUUGGACCGUGUACAAGUCCCCUGGGAUGGCGGCAUCAUAGAGGGUGAGAAUCCCGUAUAUGGCACGGACUACCAAUGCUCUGUGAUACACUCUCAACGAGUCGAGUUGUUUGGGAAUGCAGCUCAAAAUGGGUGGUAAAUUCCAUCUAAAGCUAAAUAUUGGCGAGAGACCGAUAGCGAA